GACGAACGCUGGCGGCGUGCCUAAUACAUGCAAGUAGAACGCUGAAGGAGGAGCUUGCUUCUCUGGAUGAGUUGCGAACGGGUGAGUAACGCGUAGGUAACCUGCCUGGUAGCGGGUGAUAACUAUGGAAACGAUAGCUAAUACCGCAUAAAAUUGAUUAUUGCAUGAUAGUCAAUUAAAAGGUGCAAUUGCAUCACUACCAGAUGGACCUGCGUUGUAUUAGCUAGUUGGUGAGGUAACGGCUCACCAAGGCAACGAUACAUAGCCGACCUGAGAGGGUGAUCGGCCACACUGGGACUGAGACACGGCCCAGACUCCUACGGGAGGCAGCAGUAGGGAAUCUUCGGCAAUGGACGGAAGUCUGACCGAGCAACGCCGCGUGAGUGAAGAAGGUUUUCGGAUCGUAAAGCUCUGUCGUAAAGAGAAGAAACGAAGUGUGAGAAGUGGAAAAGUCA
rnacentral:rRNA from 1 species